UGUAUCAGGUGGUUUGUUUAAUGAUGCUAGUCACUCCACGACAUGCAUUCUGCCGAAUAUAAGAAAACAAUCUUAAAGUUACGUUUUCUUUUUUCGAUACAAGUAUAUAGAUUAAAAGAAAAAUCAUUGGAAACCAGAGAAAUCUUUUGUCCAAACUCAGACUGAGAUUUGUAUUUUAAUUCUUCAAAAGCUCUAGCUUUUCUUGACAUUCCCAAGUCCCUUCAGCCAGCAACAUAGCAUUCUGUAAUUAUUGACAUGGGACUCUUAUAAAAAAACUACACUUAUUUAUCAGAGAUAAUACUAUGCAUCUUGCAAUAUCUUCUUGUAAAACUAAAAGAGAAUUAAGCCUUCUGCCACACAGAGCUAUAACAUCUAAAAUGAAAAGAUUAAGCCUAUAGUUCUAUCUUCUGCAAGAGUUUUUUAAAAAGAAGUUUUACCCCAGAGUCAGGGGUCAGCUAGAGGAAUUUCAGGUAUCAACAUGGCAGUGGCUUCCAGGUAACACACUCAAGUGAUUCAAGUAACACCAUAUCUCUAGUUACUUAUGUCAACAACACCAGCAAUAAAAUGCAAGGAUUUCUUCUUGUGCAAGAUAAAUCCAAGGAUGGGAUGUGAACAAUGAAUAUUAUAGUAUAAAUUUAUUUUAGAUCUUAUGCUCUACCAUUAUACAUUUUGCAUGUUUCCAAUAUAUAGCAGAGACCAGCUCCACAGCCCACAUGCUUCUGCCUCCUCACAGCUGGGCAUUCAGCUGUCUCUCAUUGAAGGUAAUCAAGCUUUAAUUAAGAAACCCUUAGCUUAAGCAGCUGUUUGGUGAGCUUGACUGAUAUGGACCCAGCAUCACCAAUACCUGAUUUACCAAGACAUCAGGAAAAACAACUUUGAUGGAGGAGCCCAGCCUAAGGUUUUCUCAAAAUAAACAGAGUUUUGCAGUACAGGCAGUGGUUCCUGCUCUAUACUUCAUUUACCAGUGUAGUUUCAUACUGAAACUGUAAAUGUUGGGGGGGGUUGGUGGGGAGGACACACUGAAAAAAAGGAUCAGAUAAAAACAAACUAUAAAUGAUGCUGCAUUUCAUUAUAUCACAUGGUUUAUCCCUGAUGCUUCCCCUCUGAACCGUGGUGUUACCUCCUUCCCCCUCACUCCUCCCCUUCGGUUUCUCCCAAUUGGUUGUAACCUGCCUUCCACUGCCCUCUUUCCCUCUGUUCAAAAUCCAGCCAUGAGCUAGACUCAUUCACUUUUCUGCCGGAACCAUUCGGAAUAAAGCUGGGACGCGAAGAAGAGAGCCUCCUUCAUCUUUUAUCUUUUAUCCUUGCUAAAAUCUUAUCCCACCCCCUACCCCUGGUGGACUGCAGUGGGGCAGGCAUUUUCCCAGGGGUGGGAGCAGGGGAUAAAUAGCAAAAUGAAGUUUAGACUUUCAGCAAUCCAGUAAAAGUUGUCUUGAAACAGUUUUCAAAGUGCUAGAGUAUCUUUACAUAUAGCAAACAUCUGAUGUCAAUAUUUCAUAAAAUCAUGGAAUGAUUUGUGUUGGAAGGACCAUAAACUUAUUCUACUUCCAACCCCUCUUCCAUGGACAGGCACACUUUCCACUAGACGGUGUGGCCCAAAAUUCCAUCCAGCCUGGGCCUGAACACUUCCAAACAACACUUUGGUAAGCCCAAAUUCUUUUGACAACCUGAAUUAGUGUCUCAGCACCACAUUGUAGAAAAUUCCUUUACCUGAUCUAAGUCACUUCCUUUUUGAAGCCAUUCCCCCUUGUCCUAUGAUUACAAACCCUUGUAAAAAAGUCCGUCUCCAGCUCUCUUGUCGCCUCCCUUUAGAUACCAAAAGGUUGCUAUAACAUCUACUGGGAGCCUAUUAUUCUCCUGACUGAAUGGUCACAACUCUUUCAGCCCAUCUUCACAGGAGAGGUGCUCCAUCUCUCUCAUCAUCUUCAUAGCUCUCCUCUGGACUUGCUCCAAUGUCCUUCCUGUGACAGGGACCUUAGAGCUGGAUGCAGCACUGCAGGUGGAGUCUCACCAGAGCAGAGCAGAGCAUAGCAGAGCAGAGCAGAGGAAGACAAUCCCCUCCCUUGCCCUGACGGUCACAUUGCUUUGGAUGUGGACACACUGAUUUUCUGGGAUGCCAGCUCAUGUCCAGCCUCUCAUCCACCAGCGAGCCCAAGGCAUUUUUAUCAAGACUGCUCUAAAUUUAUUCUAUGCCCAGCCUGUAUUUGUGCUGGAGAUUUUCCUGACCCCAGUGCAGGACCUUACACUAGACCUUGUCAAUCUUCAUGAGGUUCACACAAGCCCAUCUCUCAAACCUCUCUCAGUCCCUCUCAAUAGCAUCCUUUCUUUCCAGCAUGUCAACCACACCACACAGCUUGGUGCCGUUCGGAUGGACUCCAUUCCACUGUCCAUGUUGCCGAUUGUGUUAGUUUGGCAUUUAGGGAAAGAAGUGGGAAGCACUUUGGAAGUGAUUUCUGGGAGAAGCUGCUGGGAGCUUCCUCUGUGUCUGAGAUCAGGCCAAUAGUUGUCCAGUUCUGAGAACUGACAGCAUUUUUCACCACUGAAAAGUUCAUCUCUGUGAAUACCACCUUUUAAAAACCCAAGCCCGGGAGAUUAUCUCUCUUUCUUUCUGGCCCUGAAAGGCAGCAGAGCUCUGGUGAGGCUGGCCCUGCUGCCCUGCGGCCUGUGCGGCCUGAGGGGGGCUGAGCCAGAGCCCAGUGGCUCCCGGGUGGGGAGUAGAGACUGCAGGGUUCCCCCUAGGCCAGGACAGGCUCUGCUGCAGCGCUGGCUUCUCCAGGGAAGUUCUCCGGGUCCCGUUCUGGUGGGGUGGCCGAAGCCCUUCCCAGGGGGGCCCCCAACCCCCGGCGGGGCCAGGCCACAGCUGCUGACUCCUCUCCCCACCACCCCUCCAGCCCUCACAGACGGCUCUCGGGUGCCGAGCUGAGAGAAGCACCAGAGGAGCCUGAAAUCAGACACCGUGACUACCUGCCGUGGCCUGGGCCAGAUUUAACUCUUUCACUACACAGAUCAGCCUUUAUCUGUCACUGGAACAUAUUGAAAGUUAUUGCUGAACUACAAGAACCUGCAAGAAAGAGACUGGAGAGGGACCAGUGAGUUAGUUGAAGUAUGGGGGCUACCCUUUUCAUCUUCUGAUCUUGAUUAACUUUUGCCUGACAGAGUUUCACUCAUCUGAUAGGACAGCCAAUUCUACUCUGGGGUUCGUGUGUUAGGUUUUGCAAUGCGAGCCAAACCUGAGGGAUAAAAUAGUUUUACGUGAGACACUGCUGCCCUCCAGCGACGACAUGCAAUUGGGGAAGAGACCUUUUCCUGCAAAAAACUUCUUUGCUCUCAGGGAUAUUCCUGGUACACCUGAGUGUCCUGCAUUCCCUGCUAUCUGCUUCAGAUACGUCUCAGAACUACAGUGAGG